rnacentral:lncRNA from 10 species
CUUUAACAAUAUUUCAACCAAAUAUGAUGAUGUAACUUUUUAGAGGAAAAAGAUAGGUAACUGGAGAGAGGAUAUUUCCCCUCUUCUCUUAAAAUAAGAAGUCAGUAAGUAACAUCUAAAAUAAAUAGAUUAUGAAAUAGCAAAUGAUAUUAGAAACAUGCUUCCAGGAAAUGAGAUUGAGAAAGGGUGAAGCAGGGAAUAGUUUACAUUUGUUAGAAGAUUUUAAUACAAUUUGUUUUCUUUCUUUCUUUUUAAACUAUAGGCGUGUAUUGCUUUGAUACACACAUAAGCAAGUAAAUAAACUUCCAGAUGUAAGGGCCAGACUGGAACUGACAAAAGGAUGCUAAAAAUGUUUCUGUUUUCUGUGACACUUACAUGACUUGUAAAUAUUGUAAAACAAAAUAUUUAAAAAGAAAAUGUUUGGAAAGUAUAGAAGACAGAGUUAUUGAAACCCAUGAACUAAGUCUCGUACAAUUUGAAUCUUUGUGUUUUUUCUAAUACAUCCUUUCUUUAUCUUACUUCCCAGUCUUGUGGUGAUCACUUAGCUGCUGACAUGGUGGGAUGGAGGAUUCCAGAAUGCGUCAUGACUCACUGCCAUUGUGUUUACAGACUUACAGCAUACCAUGAAGACUCUACAUUAAAGCCACUUCUUAAAGCAAAUGCCAUGUCCUACAGUGCCAUCUGCAGAGAAGCAGUUUGCACUUGACAGAAAUCAAGGUCUUCUAAGCCCCAAGUUAAAGAACUCUAUUCAGCCGGGCGCGGUGGCUUAUGCCUGUAAUCCCAGCACUUUGGAAGGCCGAGGCGGGCGGAUCAUCUGAGGUUGGGAGUUCAAGACCAGCCUGACCAACAUGGAGAAACCCCGUCUCUACUAAAAAUACAAAAUUAGCCUGGGGUGGUGACACACGCCUGUAAUUCCAGCUACUAAGGAAGGCUGAGGCAGGAGAAUUGCCUGAAUCUGGGAGGCGGAGGUUGCAGUGAGCCGAGAUCGUGCCAUUGCUCUCCAGCCUGGGCAACAAAAGCGAAACUCCAUCUCUAAAAACAAAAACAAAAACAAAAACAAAACUCCAUUCAAAAGUAAAGUAGAAACACUAUCUUGAUGCACCAAAAGACCAACUGCUCACAACUUUGGUUCCAAGGUCUGGAGAAUUUGCUGAGUCUGUGAGGCCUGGAGUUUCACAGCCAGUAUCCAAACAGGGACUAUUUCUGAUUAAUGUGUUGCUAGGUAACUCAUAAUUAUACAAGCAAAGAAGCAAGUUCAAUGUAAUAUAACUCACAUUGAUUUUUUUGGCUAUGCUGUAAGAGCUUGAUGUUAAUGUAUAGGAAAAAAAUUCCCAAUAUCCCCCAAACAUUUUGUUCCAAUAAAUACUUCUUAAUAUUUUGAAAUCACCUGGUUGUUCUUAUAGAUCUGAAAGUAUUUGAAACACAUUUUUAUUAUGAAUCAUGAUUUAGGCUCCUGAUAGACAGUUUUGUGAGCAUACUGACUUCUCUAUAAAUAUUACCAGCUCAUUCAAACUAAGUGGAGCAAGUGAAUAGAUUUGUGGUCCUUUCCGUACAGACUUAGAAACUUCCCGGUUUUAUUUUGGUCUAAUUAUAGGUUUUGACUUUUUCAAGGUACAUAAUCAAAGUCUGACCCCUAAAAACGUCUAAUAAAGCUAUGCUUUAAAGGCCAAAGAAAUAAACACAUUAUUUUAAGUGUCAUGGAGUUAGUGCAAAUCCAUGUAUCUUUGCAGGCCAGGGGGUGUUUUCUACCAGAUGAGGGCCUAAGGCAAUGAGGCGGCACAGACAUAAUAAAAGUCUGACGCAGAGAGGAUUUGAAUACCAGCUAGAGUAGUGGAAACAUGUUGUCAAUAAAUGUCUCAGGUCAAGAAACACACAAAAUGAGAAGAAAUCGUAGCAACCACCUUGCAGUGACCAAAAAAAUCUAUAUAUAUUGUCGGGAUAAUUCUGAGAAUAAAGCAGUACUAUGAUGCUAAAAAGAUGGUCUUCCUAAAUUGCAAUAUGAAUGACUGCACGUUAGAAAAGCAUGUAUUUUGGACCAACGUUGUGAAACUAAGCUGUCUUGGGACACCAGGCAUGAAGGCAAUGGGGCACAUUGGUUACGAGUUCUGGGUUUGGCCAGGGUGUGAAUUCCAACUCUCAUUGACCUUGAGGAUGUUAUUUCAAUUUUUUGUGGUUUAGUUUUCUUAUCUGUAUCUCACAAGGUUAUCAGAAAGAUUAUAUAUAAUCAUGUAUAAAGCUUGACAUCUGGCCUCUCAAAUGCUAAAAUAAAAAAUAAAAAAUAAAAAAAAACCCAACCUAAUAGUGUUAUAAUUACAGAAACAGAGUGUUCAGCUUAACAGGACACACUUUCCUUAUGUCCUUUCCUUCCUCAAAAGUAGGAGUAAUUCACCUCCUUCAGGCCAGUUGCAGGUUGCUUUGAGGCCUUGUGUUUCAGAGGAGUAGUAGCUAUUUUAUUACCACGUCUCUUAUUUUCAGUCUUUUAUUCCCCUUUAGUAAGUUUGGCUAGAUCUUCCUUUGUUUUUCUUUCACAUGAUUGAAAUCAGCCACCAGAAAUCACUGCACCCAUCACCCAGAUUCUGUAGUUUUGGUCAACUGCUUGCCAUCUUCUUCUCUACUUUGAUAUUAAGCACCUGGUCAAGAAUUGCAUCUCCCAGGGCUUGUCAGCAUUACUGACACUUUCCUGCAGGCACCUUUGGAAAUGGGCCAACAUAGUGCUGUUUUGGACUAUCAUUUAUCUAGCAUUUGCCCUCAAAGAUACAAACCUAAGUUUAAUCUUAUGAUAUUAACCAUGAUAGAUUGCAACCUCAAUAAUUUUUAUUCUAACAAUUAGAUCUGCUAUUCUUUGGACAGAAUGGCUUUCUUUUGGACGAUCUUUUUGGCAGUCUUUUAGAUGAUAAAGAAGUAAACAAAGUUGUCAAGAAAGUUAAAAGACAUAUACUCGAAACUCUACGGGGGAAAAAAAAGACACUAGGAAGAGCUCUCUGUCCUGGAUGGCAGUAAAGAAAGUAAAGCUACAUAUUUCUAACACAAAUCUUCUGUAUCAUCUCUUGUUUUACAUAAUUCAUAGACUCGCUCUUUAGCAUAGAAUUUGUGGCCAUGUACAAAGGUCACAGCUAGAAUACUGCAAAAUGUGUACAUCUGAGGGCAGAAAUUCUUUUUCCCCAUUACUUAUUUAUCAAACAGGUUGAUGUCAGAUAGAAAGCUUUGGGUGUUGUUUUGCCUUUCUUCCUCCCAUGCAAAUAAUCAUCUCUGUGUCCUACCUUGUUAACCUUUUCUGUUUAUUUCUAUUUCCCUGCAACUCCUUAUUAUAGUUGCCAGUUAAUCACAAAUAUAUUAAAAGAUUUCUUUUUAAUCUAGCAGUCUUCAUCGCUUUGUGGUAUCUAUGUGAACAGUUGUGUCCUCGCUAAGAGAGUGUCCAAUUACACGCACGGCAGGGAAAAGCAAGAGAUCAGCAGUUGACUAUGCUUUUGUCUAAGGUAUCAAAUGUGAAAGCAAAUUAGGUAUCUAAAAAUAAAAACUAAAAUUAAGACUAAUAAAAUGGAGCUUUGACUUUUCUCAUCACAGACUCAUUUAUACUUAAUGACACAGACUGACUGCAUAGGUAAUUGUUAUAAUCUCUCUUGAAAUGGAUUUUAAAAAAUGGCUGAUCUAUUCUUCUUUUCAGGACAGGUAAAUGGAUGCCAAGACAACAGAGAAACAGGAAUCUUUUUGUGUAGUUAUAUAUUAAUUUGUUUGCAAUAUUGGCUUGCAAAUAGAAGGCCAGAGAGAGAUCCAGCACCACAGGGAUUCAAAUCUCCGUUGACAAGUGUUUAUAAAUGACUCGCAACCAGAACAUAUAUGUGGAAUCAGCACACAAAACUGGCAAGAGCACUGGUUCCGCUGCAGAAAUUACACACAAGAGGAGCUCUUUCUGUGUGCUUUCAUGCAUCAGUCUAGAGCCAGUUCUUCCUCAUUCACAUUGAAACGUCAGGUUCGGCCUGAAUAAUGUUUCCAUGCGGGCCUAAAAACUUCUGCAAAAAUUCGAUGGAAGUAAAAAUCACACAAGACCUCAUCACACUCCUCCAUGUGAUCUCAAUAUUUUUAAAGAAAAUAUUUAUAUACGUUUUAUUUAUAAACCACUAUUCUAAGACUUAUAAGUCUAUAAAGCUUCCAUUUGGGCAAAAAUGUAAUCUCCCAAGAUAUAGCAGCUCUCUAAGCUAAAAAUAAGAGAGAAUAUUUUUGAAGAGACAAGAGUCUCAGGUUCCUUGUGAGGGAACUCAAAAUAUUUCACCCCAAAAUAUGGCAAUCUGAGUGUUUUAAGUUAAAACCUCAUAGAGAUCAAUAAGCACUGGAGGAGAGUUUUCCCCUAUCAACAGAAAGACAGGACUGACUCACCCAGGAGAACAAUUGUUCUUGUUCCCCUCCCUGGUAUCUCAUUAUUCACUACAGGAAAGAAGACCAAAAAUGUAAGCAUACUUGAACAUACAUUUUUCAAGAUAAUGAGUGUCUCAAAUGAUUAUUUAAAUUCCAAAGAGAACUAUUUACAAGUUAAUUUCUGUUCCAGUUAUUUUCCUUAGUAAUCAUUUAUUGCACAUCAAUAGAAUUCCUCUUCCCACCCUCCCAUAGCCUGUUCUGCCAGGAUCCAAGCCUUCAUUCUUUCUGUAACCUCAAGAUGGUAUGUCAACCUUUGUACCUCAUUGGGAAGCUGGGUCUUCAUUUUGAAGGCUUCCAAAUAUACACAUUAAAUAAAUUUGUAUGUCUUUUCUCCUAUUAGUCAAUCUUCUUCUUGUCAGUGAUUUUCAGUGAACCUUUAAGGGGUCAAGUUUUGGCCCCCACACCUGCCUUCAGUAGCACGUUUGUUUGAAGGUGGAUCAAC